CGCUUUGUGAAAAACUUUAGCACAAUUGCUGCUCCUUUGCAUGCUUUGAGUAAGAAGAAUGCUCCUUUUGUUUGGGGAUCUUUGCAAUCCACCGCUUUUGAUGAGCUCAAGUCUUUGCUUACUCAUGCUCCGAUUCUUGCUUUGCCCAACUUUGAGAAAACUUUUGAGGUUCAUUGUGAUGCAAGUGGUACCGGAAUUGGCAGAAUUUUGAUGCAAGAAAAACGAGCCAUUGCUUAUUUUAGUGAAAAACUCUCCGGUGCUCAACUUAACUAUCCCAUCUAUGACAAAGAAUUGUAUGCUUUAGUGCGUGUGCUACAUGUUUGGGAACAUUACCUUAGACCUCAUGAGUUUGUCAUCCAUACC
rnacentral:rRNA from 1 species